CAGCCGCCGCGGUAAUACGUAGGGCGCGAGCGUUGUCCGGAAUUAUUGGGCGUAAAGAGCUCGUAGGCGGCUGGUCGCGUCUGUCGUGAAAUCCUCUGGCUUAACUGGGGGCUUGCGGUGGGUACGGGCCGGCUUGAGUGCGGUAGGGGAGGUUGGAACUCCUGGUGUAGCGGUGGAAUGCGCAGAUAUCAGGAAGAACACCGGUGGCGAAGGCGGGUCUCUGGGCCGUUACUGACGCUGAGGAGCGAAAGCGUGGGGAGCGAACAGGAUUAGAUACCCCUGUAGUCCCUGUCUCUUAUAC
rnacentral:rRNA from 1 species